UGACUCAAGUGGUAGAGUACCUGCUUAGCGAGCAGGAGGCCCUGGGUUCAAUCCCCAG
rnacentral:tRNA from 1 species